rnacentral:rRNA from 1 species
UACAGAGGGCUCAAGCGUUGUUCGGAUUCAUUGGGCGUAAAGGGUGCGUAGGUGGCAUGGUAAGUCGGAUGUGAAAUCCCGGGGCUCAACCCCGGAACUGCAUUCGGUACUGCUGAGCUAGAGUACUGGAGAGGAGAUUGGAAUUUACGGUGUAGCAGUGAAAUGCGUAGAUAUCGUAAGGAAGACCAGUGGCGAAGGCGGAUCUCUGGACAGUUACUGACGCUGAGGCACGAAGGCCAGGGGAGCAAACGGG